rnacentral:RNase_MRP_RNA from 2 species
GGAGCACCCAGCCAGGUGCGUCAUAGUGUCCCAGCGAGAGGAGCUUUCCAAUUCCGGUUGUUGAGAGCACCUCCUUACGAGCUAUGGGGAAAGUCUCCGUGCCUUGGAGUCGAGAGGACUAACGAGCAUCUCGUGGACGCCUCUCAGUUCUGCUGCCCUGGAACGAUCCGUUCGUCCUCUUCUUGUGACUGACUUGCGCGGCCGCGAGGACGCGUGAGGAAGGAGACGGAAGAUGCAGCAGCUGGAGGUUAAUCGCAGUUGCCUGUCCUGGACGUGCGUGCGUGGUACGCGCUACACCAACCGGGAGCUCGUGGCCCAACAAGGCGUGAGUUCAUGCAGCUGGUGGGAAGUAUUUCCCACAAACAGAAUGGAGCUUAUGUCUGGGGUGUUC